rnacentral:rRNA from 1 species
UGGGGAAUAUUGCACAAUGGAGGGAACUCUGAUGCAGCGACGCCGCGUGAACGAAGAAGGCUUUCGAGUCGUAAAGUUCUUUUAUAUGGGAAGAUAAUGACGGUACCAUAAGAAAAAGCCCCGGCUAACUACGUGCCAGCAGCCGCGGUAAUACGUAGGGGGCUAGCGUUGUCCGGAAUCACUGGGCGUAAAGGGUUCGCAGGCGGAAAUGCAAGUCAGGUGUAAAAGGCAGUAGCUUAACUACUGUAAGCAUUUGAAACUGCAUAUCUUGAGAAGAGUAGAGGUAAGUGGAAUUUUUAGUGUAGCGGUGAAAUGCGUAGAUAGUAAAAAGAAUACCGGUGGCGAAGGCGGCUUACUGGGCUCAUUCUGACGCUGAGGAACGAAAGCGUGGGUAGCAAACAG